AGAGUUUGAUCAUGGCUCAGAUUGAACGCUGGCGGCAUGCCUUACACAUGCAAGUCGAACGGCAGCAUGAUCUAGCUUGCUAGAUUGAUGGCGAGUGGCGAACGGGUGAGUAAUACAUCGGAACGUGCCCUGUAGUGGGGGAUAACUAGUCGAAAGAUUAGCUAAUACCGCAUACGACCUGAGGGUGAAAGUGGGGGACCGCAAGGCCUCAUGCUAUAGGAGCGGCCGAUGUCUGAUUAGCUAGUUGGUGAGGUAAAGGCUCACCAAGGCGACGAUCAGUAGCUGGUCUGAGAGGACGAUCAGCCACACUGGGACUGAGACACGGCCCAGACUCCUACGGGAGGCAGCAGUGGGGAAUUUUGGACAAUGGGGGCAACCCUGAUCCAGCAAUGCCGCGUGUGUGAAGAAGGCCUUCGGGUUGUAAAGCACUUUUGUCCGGAAAGAAAUCGCACUUACUAAUAUUAGGUGUGGAUGACGGUACCGGAAGAAUAAGGACCGGCUAACUACGUGCCAGCAGCCGCGGUAAUACGUAGGGUCCAAGCGUUAAUCGGAAUUACUGGGCGUAAAGCGUGCGCAGGCGGUUGUGCAAGACCGAUGUGAAAUCCCCGGGCUUAACCUGGGAAUUGCAUUGGUGACUGCACGGCUAGAGUGUGUCAGAGGGGGGUAGAAUUCCACGUGUAGCAGUGAAAUGCGUAGAGAUGUGGGAGGAAUACCGGAUGGGCGAAAGGCAGCCCCCUGGGAUAACACUGACGCUCAUGCACGAAAGCGUGGGGAGCAAACAGGAUUAGAUACCCUGGUAGUCCACGCCCCUAAACGAUGUCAAACUAGGUGGUUGACUUUCAUUUCCUUAGUAACGUAGCUAACGCGUGAAGUUGACCGCCUGGGGAGUACGGUCGCAAGAUUAAAACUCAAAGGAAUUGACGG
rnacentral:rRNA from 1 species